AUUGAACGCUGGCGGCAGGCCUAACACAUGCAAGUCGAACGGUAACAGGAAGAAGCUUGCUUCUUUGCUGACGAGUGGCGGACGGGUGAGUAAUGUCUGGGAAACUGCCUGAUGGAGGGGGAUAACUACUGGAAACGGUAGCUAAUACCGCAUAACGUCGCAAGACCAAAGAGGGGGACCUUCGGGCCUCUUGCCAUCGGAUGUGCCCAGAUGGGAUUAGCUAGUAGGUGGGGUAACGGCUCACCUAGGCGACGAUCCCUAGCUGGUCUGAGAGGAUGACCAGCCACACUGGAACUGAGACACGGUCCAGACUCCUACGGGAGGCAGCAGUGGGGAAUAUUGCACAAUGGGCGCAAGCCUGAUGCAGCCAUGCCGCGUGUAUGAAGAAGGCCUUCGGGUUGUAAAGUACUUUCAGCGGGGAGGAAGGGAGUAAAGUUAAUACCUUUGCUCAUUGACGAUACCCGCAGAAGAAGCACCGGCUAACUCCGUG
rnacentral:rRNA from 1 species